AAAGAUCAUAUUGUCAAAUAAUUUGAAAAUUUUUUAUAUGAAAUGCCAAAUUAUGAAAUGCCAAAUUUAAAAGAUCUUUUUUGAGGUACCUGGUAACCGGUAUCUCUCCUAAAGUGACCUGCUAUUGCAGGUCACAAUUUUAAAAAAGCUAAAUUUGAGCCAUUGAAUACGCGUGAAUUAGCGGUAACGAAAAAAAAAAAAAAAGUAUAGAAGCAUUACUCUUAUGUCAUUUGCACGAGGAGUACUAGGAAAGACAACAAACCAUGAGAUUAUAGAAAAAUCAAAAGCAUAUCUCCUUAAUUGGAGUACGUUUAGAAAUUACUCUGAAACCAUGUUAGUGAAUAGUGAAAGUCGGAUCUAAUAUAAAAUAACGCAAUGUCUGAACAAAAUACCAAAAAAUUUGAGUUGUAGUAAUUACUAGACUUUUCAAACAGUACUCUAGAUUGCAUUCAAAGAUAGCACCAUUCAUAUUUGAUUCCAUGGCAUUAAUUAGCUUCCUAGUACGUACAAUCAGAUAUCAAUAUAUAGAGCAAUCCUGCGCUUCCAAAUAUCUUAUAUAAUUAAUUAAUUAAUUAAAAGCAUUCAUACUAACUGUACCAAUGUUUGUUUUUUUUUUUUUUUUUUUUUUUUUUUUUGAGAGAAAGGUAGUAUGCUACCCGCUUCGUUUAUUUCAUUUAGAAAUAAGUAGCAGCUUUUUAACUCAAAAAUAAAUCAAAAGUCAAUGUUUUCGGGACAAGUUUGGCAGGAACUGAUUAACAAAAAUUUGAUCGCGCCAAGCGACAAAGGGCUUGGUAGUUGGUACUUAAGAUUUCAAAUUCGAAGUCUCAUUGAUUCAAUUUUCAGCUUAAUUAAUUUUCUAAAAAAAAUAAACGAAACGGGCAAUAUGCUACCUUCCUUUCUCUAAAAAAAGAAAUUCAAAAAGCUUGGUGGUUGGUAGCUGAGGCCCCAAGUUCAAAAUAAACGAAAUUAGUAACAUGCUAUCUUUCUCUCUCUCUCUCAAAAAAAAAAAAAGAAAAAAAGAAAAGAAAAAAAAAAGAAAUUCGGCCUAGAUGGGCUGGCUAGAUGCCAAUCUCUCUACGAGGUUGGAUAGAUAAUCAUUCAUUCCGAUUUCUAUGCCGAUCGACUAAAAACUAAUUAACCAACCAAACUAACAAAAUUGAUUAUCGAAUUCUGAUUGCUAUUGGGAUUCCAUGCAUUUAAUUUGUUAGUGAGAUCGAUCGAUCUAUUCAUUGAUCAGGCCAUCUUUGGCCCCCUCACGAGCGCACGCACAUACACAUGCACAUGCACACGCACAAAACCAAACACUCCCAAACAAAAGGAUCCUCACAGCUUAGCUGCUACGCGCAGGAGGAGGCAACCCCGUGUCCUACCGUAAUAGAUCGAGCAGCUAUCGCACACAGAUCGAUUCAGCAUCAACACAAUAUCCUCAUGGGAGGGGCCCCCGUUCUUGUACGUACUAUUCUGGGUCCCCCUCUCUCCCGGACUUGAAGCUUCAGAUAUGUUUCUGAGAUUAGACAACACAAAACAGCUAAUGUAACGUUUCCACUGCCUCACCUAUGAAAGGUCAGGUUCAAAAGCAACACGAGAGGGGUGAGAAAAAGGGAGCGACAAAAGAGCUCCUAUGAUUUCUCUCUGAUUUGUUUGCGCGUUUAGAAGAAAAGACCAACAGGGUAGGGUCUCAAUAAUGUCAAACAUGUCUCAAGCAGAGUAUAAUGAUGCCCUAAAGGUUGCAAUGAUGCCUUUCUCCUGCACCAUGCUGUGCUGACCAAUCAUGUUUGAUACAUCGCCUUGGAUGCAUCUUGUCGGCCAGCUGGUUCUGUUUGUUCUGUUUGAAUAUAACUAUUUAACGAAAUAAUAAAAAUAUAUUUUUAAAAUUUUAUGGCACGAAAAUUUGUUAAUUUUUAUUCUAUUAAGGUCGCUCACCAACUUAUAAUAAUCCGGCGGAAUAAUAAGCUUAAUAUUGAGACUUUUACUUUUGCGACCUAGAAAGCUUUUCUUUAUUUGAAGUUUGUUAUAUUAAGAGUUUAUAAUUUAAUAGUUUUACAUCUAGUAAAUACAAAAGAGUAGAAGAGUUGAUAUAUACAUAUACUAGCUAGUAGGUCUAUAUCUAAGAAGUUUAAACUUUUGGUAAGAAUUAUCUAUUUUAAAGAUAGAUAUAAGUUCAGCUAUAAGCAAUAACUAAAUCAAUUUUACGUUUGGAUAAGAAUUGGAUUGUUCUUGAAAUAAGAGAAAUAGCGAUUAAUUAGAUAAGAUGGAAUAAGAAGGAUAAUGGGUAGUUAUAAAUAAAAAAUAAUGAUAUUACCCUCCCAUUAUAUUUCAAUUUAUUUUUAAAUUUUAUAUUUAUAUUUUAAUUUGAAAAAGUUCUAUUAAAUAUGUUAUAAUUUUGGGUUCAUGUGAGUCAGUAUUGGGCCUAAAAUUUUUUAACAUGUUAUGUUUCGUUUGGGAUUAAUAGUAGGGAGAUUGCGUUAAGGGGCCAUUUGAUUAGAUGUAAUUAUAAAUGCAAUAUAGUUAGAGAUGCAUGCAGUUAGAAAUACAACAGUUACAACUACAUGAAUUUAGAAAUACAACAGUUACAACUACAUGAAUCAUGUUUGGUUGGAUGUAGUAGAAAGCGCUGUAAGUAUAAAUAAUUUGUUUGGUUGCAUAUAGUUGAGAAUUAAUUUUUAAAAUUUUAUUAUUUUAUAUAUAUGAUGGUGAGAUUACCUCCAAUUAAUGUAACAAAAGAAAAUAAUUUUUAUUUAAAAAAUAUUAAGGAGGUAAGCAUACCUUUUAUUUAAAGUUACUCUCUCCAAUUGCUGUAGUUGGAACUACGGCCAAUUUUGGCGUAGUUCGAACUGUUGCAGUUGGGCCUCCUCCUGCAGUUCCUACUGCAGUAGUUGGAGUUAAAUACAUCAAACCAAACACGAAAUUUGUAUUUACAUGCAGUUAUAACUGUAGUGCAGUUGCAACUACAUGCAACCAAACGACCCCUAAGUGUGGUGAGAAAGCAUGAUGGGAAAAUAACUUGUUUGUUUUUGUACGCGUAAUAUUUCGUUCCACAGAUUGCAAUAAGUCGGUUGCCAUAUAUUUUCUGUGCUCCCACCAAAGAAUAUAGAAGCAUAUCUCUUUAUGCUUUUACGUCAACUCCAUUUUAUCUAAUAGCGUCAAAUGGUCUCAAUACCAAACUAAGUCUUAAUCCACUGCAAAUAUUGACUUUUUGCAUUUUAUUCUCUUUGAUAGCAUUAUGCAGAGAACUCCCCUUAGUCUUGUUUUAUCUUCCAUAAAAUGUAUAAAAAAAAAAAAAACUAAAAUAACAUUCCAAAUUACUAUACGUCUUGCAAUUUUUUUUUUCUAAAAAAAUAUCCAGAUUUCUUUUCUUUACUCAUCCUUGUAAUCAACUUAGAGCUUUUUCUUUUCUCUCUCUCUUUUCUCUUUUUUUUUCUUUUCUUUUUUUUUUUUCCACCUACUCUAUUGCCGUAAGAGAGAAAAUAAUUGUAAGCUGGUUAAAGGGGCAAAACUAAAAAAAAGAAAAAAGAAAAGAAAAGAGAAACUAGUAUGCAACUUUUUCAUCACAUAAAAAGUGUGGUGGGUAUUUAAUUAAAAUGGUAUUUUGAGAUUUUUGUAUAGUUUUGAAAUUUUUCUAUAGUUUUAUAAAGGAAUAAUUGUUUAUAUAUCUCUCAAAACAUCAAAAAUAUCUUAUUUAUCCCAACUUUUUUUUUUCUUUUCAAUAUACCACUCAUAUGUUCUUCCGUUAUUCCAAAAUAUCCCUACAGUUACCAUCUGUUAAGUUAACUUCCGUUAAACGUGAGAUAUUUACUAGAGUUAAGAAAAAUUAAAAUGUCUUUGUUACCCUUAUGGUUGGGUUUGCCGCGGAGUUGGGUAUUGCGAAUGCCCGAGGAACCUGAGUUGUGCAGAGGUGCUUACGGCUCAGGGUGGGGGAGUACAUAAGGUGGAGAUGUAUUCCUGAAUGUGAACCCUCGACGAUGGUGCUUCUCGAAAGGAUAUGGAUUGGGCGGUGAAACACUGGACGAAAGAGUUUACUUCGUGUAUGCUGAGUUUGAAGUCUGACGGGCAGUAGUCUUCGUUGGGAGCAGCUUCGACCAAAGUUGCGGGAAUACCAAAGGGCUACUCGAUGGACCAGUACUUCUCUCUUGGUAAAGGAAGAUCGAUGGGAAGAUCGAUGACUCUUUAGAGUGGGCCCAUGAUAUGGUAAGGAUAAAUAAGAAAUAUUAGUGAUGGUAGAAGUGUAUAUAUAUUUGAAAAGACUAAAAAUUAAAAUAAUUUUUAUGCCCUAACUUAAGGGCAAAUAAGAAAAGUUGGUGAUGAUAGAAGAGUAUAUUUGAAAGGCCAAAAUAGUAAUUUUAUAUACAUAUCAGCUAUUGCUAACAGUUUAUUAACAGAAUUUAACUUUAGGGGUAUAUUUGAAAUAGGUCGGAAUGUAAAUUUUUUUUUUUCAAUAUUAGCCCUUUAAGAAAGGUAAAUCAGAAAGUCGAAAAUUUUUUAGGAGUAUAUAAGUAAUUAACCUUUUAUAAAUGCAUAAAUUUAUAAUAGAGGAUUACGUGAUAACAACAUAAAAAUUAAGGAGAGUUUUGGGCAUAUUUUUAUUUUCUACGAUAAUAUAUUCAGGGAGGUUUUAGUUACUAAUUCUUGAAUAUAAAUAUUAAAUUUCACUGUUUUUUCCGGUAGAUUAAGUGUUUGGAAAACAAUCUUCUUUUAGUCUCUUAACAUGACAUCAGAGUAGAAGAACCUGAUCAACUUCGAGCCUCGAUUCUUUUGUACAACUUAACACUAGCAACACUAAGAUUGAAAACUCAAAUAUCAUGUAUACUAGUGAAGGACCAGCGCGUUGCGGCGGGAUAAUUUCGUAAAAAUAAAUAAAUAAAUAAAUAAAGUAAAUAAAGUAAAAAAAGGGUCAAGAAAUUAUAUAAAAAAAAGCAACUGAAGAAUAAGCAACUAUUUCUGCAAUAAAAAUAUAAGAAUAAAUUAUAAGAAGACUAAAAGAGUAAGGGAAAAAACUAUACGAAUUUAUUAUCUUGACUAUUAAAAAAUAAUAUUGAUCUAUGCGAUAAAAUUUUAUAUUUAUUUGUUAUAUUGACUAUUAAAAAAUAAAUUUAAUUUAUGCGAUAAAAUUUUACACUUGAUAUAGGCAAAAAUAAAAAUAAAUGUUAAGAAAAAAAAAAUUAAGAGAGAGAGGGAGUGAGAGUGUUGAGAGAAAAAAAUUAAAAGAGAGAGAGAGAGAGAGAGAGAGUGUGUGUGUGAAAAAAAAAAAAGAGAUAGAAAAAAAAAAAAGAAAAAGAGGUGGGGCCCACCAGCCCCCCCAUAACCCAGGGAGAGCAUCUUUAGGCUNCCCCCCCCCCCCCCCCCCCCCCCCCAUAACCCAGGGAGAGCCUCUUUAGGCUCUUUAGGCUUUCCUUUUAUUUACUGUAUAGAUAAGGGACAAUUCAUAUGUAUGUACCUAAUCAUCUGUAUUAGAAGCCAGAAAAGUGACUAGAGACAAAACAAUAAAGCGAUCAAGUAGAUUGAAUGCUUUGAGAUCUCUUUGUUUAGGAGGCAAGAACAUGAAACAGAGUUUUAAUGAAUGAGCAUUUUGAAAUCAAAAUGGCUGAAGGUUUCAAAAUAGUCAUAAUUUAAAAGGCUAAUCAAAAGUUAGUUGACUCAGUUCACUCAAUUGAUUCAGUUCCAACAUAGUAGUUUGAUUUGGCAUCAGGAAAGCUAAUUGGUUUUGUGUAUAUGUAGGAUUACAUGUUGAUUUGGCCCAAACUUGAUCCGUUAAUUAAUGACUUCACGUGCUCAAUUAUCACAAUUCUAUCAAUUCUCUCGUAUUCCCAGAUACAAAUUCAGGUGGUCUAACUUAACUCCUCGCUUUUAAGACCUUCCUAGAACAAAUUUUUAACCUAAAAAUGAAAGUCCACUUUGUUGAAUGCAAUAAAAACACGCCUUUCUCUAUAGGAGUUUAAUCUUUUUGCGAGAUUAAAUUUAGUUAUCUAACAUAGUAAGAGGUGGUCUAAACUUCAAAUCUCAUCAAAUUUUUAAUCUUAUUCAAUUUUCUUACAACAAGUCAAGUCCACAUCACAGGUCCGAGCCCGAACGCGAGGACUAUGGAAUAUGCUAAGACAUCAGGGGAUAUGUUGCAUAAGUUUUUUUUUUUUUUUUUUUUUUAUUUUUUUGAGAGAGAGAGAAAGGUAGCAUGCUACCCGAUUUGUUUAUUUUAUUUAGAAAUAAACUUAGCUGAAAAUAUGAAUCAACUAGGAUUCGAAUUUGGGUCUCGCAUACCAACCAUCAAGUCCUUUUGCCACUUGCACUAAGGACGGUCGGUAUAUGUUGCAUAAGUU
rnacentral:lncRNA from 1 species